rnacentral:tRNA from 4 species
UAGCUCAGUCGGUAGAGCGACGGACUGUUAAUCCGCAGGUCCCUGGUUCGAGCCCAGG